UACGGAGGGUGCAAGCGUUGCUCGGAAUUAUUGGGCGUAAAGGGUAGGUAGGUGGUCUCAUUUGUCUGGGGUGAAAGCCUUGGGCUUAACUCAAGAAGUGCCCCAGAAACGGUGAGACUGGAGUCCUGGAGAGGGUCGUGGAAUUCCCGGUGUAGCGGUGAAAUGCGUAGAGAUCGGGAGGAACACCAGAGGCGAAGGCGGCGACCUGGACAGGUACUGACACUCAACUACGAAAGCGUGGGUAGCAAAC
rnacentral:rRNA from 1 species